rnacentral:lncRNA from 1 species
UCCUUAACCAUCCCUGGGCUAUAUGGGUUCAGCUCCCCCUGCUAAAAGGGCCUCAGUGCGUGUGGCCGUACGAUUAGGAAAAUAUCCCAUGGAAUGACUAGUACAUCCCAAAAUAAAGUGUGACAUCAUACACACGGUCACCAAGACCAACCUCAUAUCAGCAAACAUGAGUUUCUAGUUUUGGUCCCCCCGGGACCUCCACCUUCCACGGCUUUACUACACACCCCUCCAUCAUUGUCAAAUUAAAACCAAUUUCCAAAUAAUCAAACCAUUAUCCAAUUAUUAACCAAGGCCAUUGAUAAUGGUAUCGUCAUACCAAUCCUUACUUGAAAGUAUCAUCCAUAGCCAACCAUUUAGAGGUUUAAGGGGACUUUCAAGUGCCCUUCCAUGUACAAUAUUAAACGUCUUAGGGGACUUCCAUGCUCCCCACAAGUAUAACUAAUUAACCUUCAACAUUUCCAAACUAUUUAAACCAAUUCCAUUAAUGAAUCACUUGAGGGAUCUCCAUGUAUUCCGCAAGGUUUUCAAAAUAGACCAACUAUGACCACCAAAUCCUUUACCUUCUAAACCAUUAGAAGCCAUUUUAAAUCAUGCCAAACAUUUAAAGAAUUUACAUCAUUUAAACUAUGCAAAACCAUACAAAACCAUUUAGAGUUCCAUUACCAAACGAAACCAUGCAAAAGUUCCAAUGAAAGUUCAACAAUAGAGUAAAAACAUUCUUUGAGGUAUUUUAUCAAACAUGUUGAGGACAUACCAUUACAAAGACCAAAACCAAAGCAUAAACCACCAUAAUUAGGGUUACUCAAGACCCAUUUGUUAAACCAUAACCAAUCAAUAACAACAUAUGCAAACCUUUACCAUAAAUAUGUGAAAACAUAGUUUAAGCCAAUACCAAACCCUAUACAUCAAGAGCCUCAACAAUAUUUUAAAAUCCACCAUUCAUAAUUCAUAAACCAACAUUUAAAACACAAUAAAAAUGCCUUUAUUUGAAAUAACAAUGAGGGAAGGAGUACAUGCCUUAUACAAAAUGACUCACGGAAGAAAUCUUGACCUUUGAUCCCUUCGAAGAACACAUGAAGAAACCCUAGCCUCCAAUCUUCAAGAGAGUGUUUGAGAGAGUAUUUGAUGAGUUUUAAUACUUUAAUAAGUGUUAUUGAAGGCCAUAUAGGGUUAUAUGACAUAAGUACAUAAGGUUUUAGGAGUAGGAAAUGCCCAAAGAACCCCUGACUUUAAAUUCAAACAUGUCACAUCCUACGGUACGAGUUGUACCCCAACUCGUACCCAAAACUUUCCAUGACCAUACCUGCUGGUUUCUAUAUGACUCACACCCCCUUAAAUCGUACCUAAGGGUACAAGUGACACCCCCAAUCAUACCCACUACUUGUAUGUUGGACAGAUUCCAUAAGACAACUCAAACAUGCACCAUACGACUUGUCGUGCACCACUUAUAUGUUCUUAUAUGACUCUUACCUAGUUGAGCUGUAUCUUAGGCACUAUCCAACACCAACAUACUACCCAGGGUAUGAUUGAACCCUCACUACAGCCCAUAAGUCGUAUUCAAGGGUAUGAAUCAUACCUUUGAGUCGUACCAAGUCAAAAAGAUCCAAAACUUGAGAAAUUUUGCAAGGGUCCAAAUCCUAGGGUGUUUCAGUCUCCCCCACUAGGAUCAUUCAUCCUCGAAUGAUAGGUAAGUGUAAAGAUAAGCACAAGGUAACACAUUAACACACAUCAAACUCCCCCUCCCCAACCGAAAUAGAGGACAAGAACAAAAACUAAGAUGAGAAGAUCAUCACAUACCCCAAGCACGAUUUACACCCCUACACCUUCAUCCCGACCUUUAAUUAAGUUAGGAAAAAAACAUGCAAAAGGAACCAUUCGUCACAUUUAACCAAGUUAGAAAACAAGGUUGUGUUGAAGAACACACAUCUUAUGCAUGAAUUUUUUGGAACAAGAAACAAACACGGAUCCUUGGAAUCCAUGUCCACCUCCGGAUCCCGAAUGACUUUCUCAAACUUUUAGCUCUCCCCCCCCCCCCCCAACGCGGCCCCUUCCCCAACGCUUUACUACACACCCCUCCAUCAUUGUCAAAUUAAAACCAAUUUCCAAAUAAUCAAACCAUUAUCCAAUUAUUAACCAAGGCCAUUGAUAAUGGUAUCGUCAUACCAAUCCUUACUUGAAAGUAUCAUCCAUAGCCAACCAUUUAGAGGUUUAAGGGGACUUUCAAGUGCCCUUCCAUGUACAAUAUUAAACGUCUUAGGGGACUUCCAUGCUCCCCACAAGUAUAACUAAUUAACCUUCAACAUUUCCAAACUAUUUAAACCAAUUCCAUUAAUGAAUCACUUGAGGGAUCUCCAUGUAUUCCGCAAGGUUUUCAAAAUAGACCAACUAUGACCACCAAAUCCUUUACCUUCUAAACCAUUAGAAGCCAUUUUAAAUCAUGCCAAACAUUUAAAGAAUUUACAUCAUUUAAACUAUGCAAAACCAUACAAAACCAUUUAGAGUUCCAUUACCAAACGAAACCAUGCAAAAGUUCCAAUGAAAGUUCAACAAUAGAGUAAAAACAUUCUUUGAGGUAUUUUAUCAAACAUGUUGAGGACAUACCAUUACAAAGACCAAAACCAAAGCAUAAACCACCAUAAUUAGGGUUACUCAAGACCC